GUGCGUCUGGGGAAUGUAACCGGGUAGAAUUGGAAUGAGAUGCCUGCAGAGACAGCACGAGGGGGUGAACCCUACACGCGCAUGGCAGCCUUUUUGUGCUCAGGCUACCAGAGAGCUCAUCAGCCCUACCCUUGGGGCCAUCUUAAACUGCCAGGGCUCCUGCAAAAAGCACAAAAAUGCAACACCCACGGCGCCAAACGGACUGCCAAAAGGCCACUUGUUUACAAAUCGAGUUGAAACAGAAGCCAGAGCGUCACCUUGUCUGACCUCAGCUGGGAGCAGGUGCUUCGGACGCUCCCGUCUGUGGCUGCUCCACCCAUGUCACAGAUGCCCAGGCGCUGCAUGUCCUGAUCUGGGAGUUACAAUAAACUGAGCGAGAAGAUGCUACGUCUAAUGAAGCCUAGAUGAUGUGGUCUCCUCUGCUGCCCUCAGCACUCACCCUUAGUGGACUUCCAGCACGUUCCACUGUGGAGAGAACCAAACACCUCCUUGCCAUCAGCUCCUAGUGUCACUUUCUCUCGGGGCAGCAAAGCCACUGAGACUCCCGGAGGCCUCGCUCCCUGCGUCCACGCUGUCGGGGGAGAGGUCUCGUGGAGUUCAUCCCUCAUCAGACGGCCUGGCUGCAAAGCGGCUGGGCCUGCAGGUCACAGGCCAGCUCCAGGCCUGUUUGGUCUGUGGCCCCUGAGAUUCACCUGGGAAGCCCUAAGGAGACCCGUGCUUCGCAGGGCAAAGAGGCAGGCGGGUCUGUCUGGUCCUCCUGGAGGGGGACAGGGAAGGGCCUUGGGACCAGCUGAAUCACCUGCUGGUACCCUCCCAGCCGUGCCAGGGUUGCGGCUGUCUGGAGGGGAAGGGUUUCCUCUUUAAAACGGCCCUGAAAGGUCCACAGUGCAUCGGGACGGCUCGGGCCGGGGCUCUCAGCCUCUCCUGGGCGCGGCGGAGUCACCGGGCAUGCGCAUUAAAGACAUAGGCAGCAGGUCUGGUCCAGGCGAGGCCCCCCCACCCCCACCGCUCCGAGGUGGCCUGGAGCCGGGAUGACGGAUGGCAUCAGGGUCCCCGGGCGCCUCACUCGGGGGUCUUGUGAGUGUGAGGCGCUGGCUGGGGUCCUUCCGAGGAGCUCGUGUGGGGCGCGUGACGGCCGGGGUCUGGCCGGGGCCCCACACGCCGCACUUGCCAUUAGAUGGGCUGAGAAGGGAACGGCGAAUCUUAACCUUUCACACCGAGGAAGCGGCUGCGGGAGACGAGGGACACCAGACGUCAAGUAACCUGACAUCCUCAGCCAUCGAAGAGAUUAGAUCAAGGAAUCUGGCCUGAUACGUUUACUGAAGAUCCGCUGGCGAACUCCUUAAAGAGAGACACAAGCAGAAUGAAAUGAAAACCAAAUCACUCCGCCUUCCAUCCUGUAAACCUCUUGGGAUUCCCAGAAGUUAGAUUAUUUGGUCUAUGACGCCAGAUGGCUUUGGAAUUUUGGAGAAGUAGUGUCCA
rnacentral:lncRNA from 1 species